AACAUACCUCAUAGUACGGAAUAACUGCGGGAAACUGUAGCUAAUACCGUAUAUUCCAGUAAUGGGAAAGAUUUAUCGCUAUGAGAUUGGCCCGCGCAAGAUUAGCUUGUUGGUGAGGUAAUGGCUCACCAAGGCUCCGAUCUUUAGCUGGUUUGAGAGGACGAUCAGCCACACUGGGACUGAGACACGGCCCAGACUCCUACGGGAGGCAGCAGUAGGGAAUAUUGGACAAUGGGGGAAACCCUGAUCCAGCAAUGCAGCGUGAGUGACGAAGGCCUUAGGGUUGUAAAACUCUUUCAUCGGUGAGGAUAAUGACAGUAGCCGAAGAAGAAGGACCGGCUAAUUCCGUGCCAGCAGCCGCGGUAAUACGGAAGGUCCUAGCGU
rnacentral:rRNA from 1 species